GUCACGCGACCUCCCCCUUUCUUCGAUUCUCCAGCCCGGCGGCGCCUCCUCGCGUCUCCAGCCCGUGCCUUCUCUUCUCCCCUUUGGCCCUUUCCCACAAGCAAUCCUCGUCACUGGAUCCGUCGCCGGAAGAGGAGGAGUCCUUGCGGCCGUCGUCCUCGGUGAUGAAGGCGCCCAUGUCCUUGCGGCGGCGAUGCGGUGGGGCGAGUUCCCGUUGAUGAGAUGAUGUGGUGCGAAGGGGGUGGCGCGACGACGGUGGGGAAGCAGCGGUGGUGCAGCUAGGCGGGUUGCUGGUGGGGCGGCCAGGGAGGCGGCUGGGUGGUGAAACCCUAGCAGGGAGGCAUGGGGCUUGUCCCUAAGCAUCAGCCUCUGCUGGUUGCCUCCCCCGCUGCCGCCAAACAAUCCACCACCGCGGAGGAAGAGAGAGUGUGUGCUUUCCUCCCUCGUUUUUUUAUGCAUAUUCUCUAUUCUUGUUUCUCAUCCGUGCGUAGGUGGAUCAGAUGCUGCGCGUGGUAGUCUCGGUUGAGGCUUCACAUGCAACGUGCACCUGGUCCGCAACAUCAUUUACGGUGGCAGCUUUAGAAUUUGAUCAUGACUGUCCGGGAUUUUCCAAUACACGAUGAUCUGCAUUUCUUAGUUUUGAUCCGUUCAAGUUGGCUCAGGAGAGUGUGAAAUUUAUGCUGGUUGCUUCUCCAGACAUGGUAGUUUGAUUUCUGCAUCAUCACUUGGUAUUGCCAAGCCAGCCUCUAAGGUUGCCAAGAAAGAAAGCAGUGCUGAUGAUGACAGUUCUGAAGAAAGCUCCGGUAGUGACGAGGAAAAUGACCAAUCAGUAUCAGUGAAAAAAUCCGCUCAGAAUGAACCAAAAACUCCUGCCAGCAGUAGUCAAGCUACUACUGUGUCAAAGACUGUUUUUGUUGGGAAUUUGUCAUACAAUGUGGACAAGGAACAAGUGAAGCAAUUUUUAAGGAGGCAGGUGAAAUUAUUGAUAUUCGUGUUGCGGCCUUUGAAUAUGGGAAAUCCAAGGGCUUCGCGCAUGUUGAAUUUGCUACAACUGAAGCUGCUCAGAAGGCAUGCAAAUUAAAUGGCCAUGGUUUGAUGGGGCGGUCUGUCAGGCUUAAUUUUGCUCAAGAGCGAGGCGCGUUUACUCCUGGCAGCGGGAGGGACAACAAUUCUUUCAAGAACCCUGGUCAAAGCUCUAACAGUACUGCCUUUAUUAUAGGGUUUGAUUCUUCUCUUGGGGAGGAUCAGGCUAGCAAACCUGCAUUCAUUGUCUGCUAUCAUAUGUAAGUUCAAUUUUCAGAGGCAGUCUCGUAAGUAAGAAGGUAUUUUUCUAUAUUUGCUUCUGUAAAUGUUCAUAUAUUUUUUAUCACACCAUUGGUGUUAGAUGUCUUGAUUAGGAGGUUAUGCAAUGAUAUACAUUUGGAAUAAGCGAAUCUAGCAUUGUAAUGCUUCAGAUUUUCUCUUUCGGUAGAGUGGAUGUCAUGUGCUUUGGGUUCGGACUUGUUUUCUGUUUGAGGCUAAAACGUGGUGAACUCGAUUUGUUUACCCUAUGCUAUCAUCCCACUGAAACUAUCUCCCCUCACAGUAUUUGUUUAACAUAGUGAUACCUACUCUACCUUGACCAUGUGUAUUUGUCUAGGCAAGAAGCUUUGUUGUUCUGUUUUUCUUUUCCGAAAUUAGCUUCUGCCUUCACGUACAAACUUAGAGUUUCCAAGGCAAUUAGUUACCUCAUUCCUUUGUCAAUAUCAAAUUAUGGGGCAGUUUUAGUAGCGUGUUACAUGAAAAAAAUGCUGCUUCUAGCCUGAUUUAGAUCGCUGUUAUAAUUCUCAUCAUGCUUGAAUUUCCUAUUUCGGGUGAUUAUGCCGAACCAUGUGAGACUCGGGACAAAAUAAUCAUUCAGUGACAAAGGAAUGAAUCAUGGAUAAUAAAGACAGCUGCAGGUUGCACCUAGCCGUUUGUGUUUCUGUAGUAGGGGAAUGCAUCCCAUAUUUGCAUUAGACUGGUUAGAUACAUGAGACUCAGAUUUCGCAAAAAAAAAAUACAUGAGACUCCGAGCAAGGUAAUACAAUUUCUCAGUGAUUUUACAUAAAAAAUGCUGCUUCUAGCCUGAUUCAGAUCGCUGUUAUAAGUCUCAUCUAUGCUUGGAUGUCCUAUUUGGAGUGAUUAUGGUAAGGCAUGUGAGGGUUUUUGAGUCAUUUUCUCAAAAUUACGACAACUCGCAACUAAACAGCGACUUAUGGCGACUGUACAAUGACUUUUGUCGACUAAACACUGAGUCACAGGGCUGGUGACUCAGUUUUGAGUCGGGACUCAAAUACCUUGUUCAAAAGUAUUCAUCUAGCCCCUCAUCAAGUGCAAGACCUGCUUCUACUUUCUCCAUCGAUAAGCCUAAUUCACAUACCGGUUCAGAUCACCACCUAUGGCUUGUACCAUCCUUUUGGUCAUUAUCUCUCUCCAUGCUUUUGAUGUUGGUUUCAGAACUUUCCUAAAUGUUCAGUCUGUAAAUAUAGCUGUCCAUAUGAUGGUUGGAUGAUCAUAACUCACUAUUUGACAGGUAGAUGGUGUUGCAAUAACUCUAGCCAAAGAAUGGUCAGGCUGGCAUGCAACUAAUUUUUUUUUGCAUCCACGUUCCCAGCAUAGAGGUACCCAAAAUCUGUAGGUGUUGUCGCACUUCCAGUUCUAGAUUUAGUGCUAUUCAAAUGUUAAAAAAUUGUAUCAUAGCAUUGUUUGCUUCACACCACAGCCCAUGAUUGUUUCUCACCAUCUUUACUUUAGUGUUGAUGAUUCUGAGCAAGUUGUUCAUUAAGGAGGCUAAGAUUUCAGAUAGCAAUAAAGCCUUUUAUAUGCAUGGUAAGUUAGUAUAUGGUUGUAGUAUAUUCAUAUGAAUUAUAUUACACUGUUGCAAAUUACAGUAUUUAAUUGUUGUACGAGGAAAACCUUGAAGGUUCUUUGCUCGUGGUGAAAUGUAAAAUGCGCCGGUUUAAUUUCAUUGUCCUUACUAAUAACUAAAAAGAGACCCAUGCUGUUUAUUAGUUCACAGGCAUUGUUGUGCCUAUAGUUGUAGAUUUUUUAUUAGUAACUUCAAAGGCAUUGUUUUGACCUGUGACCACCCAUGCUCAAGCUUCUAAAAUUUUAUACCAUGAAUUGCAAGAGCAUCUUGCUUGGUUUCGUUGACAUGGUAAUAUGUAAUAUUUCCAAUAAACAUCAAAUCUAGAACUUAUUUAGCCUUGGUAUUUGUAUUUUAUGACACACAUUUGAUUGAUUAUGUAAACUUAUUAGGAUGCUUGUAUGAAGAAUGCAGAGAAACAAUAUUGUGACAUGGAUAAUGUUGCUUAUAUUUUACAAAGAUUAUUUCUUGGCAUAUAUAUCCUCCCUUGUCUCAUUGUUUUUAUGCAAUGCAGAAAUUCAAUCAUCUACCAAAAAACCUUUGCUAAUUGUUAUGCUUGUUCAUAGCAUGAUUUAUCUGCUUUCUUAUGCACUACAGAUUUUGUAAUAGGGAACUUUCCUUAUGUUGUGCAUCUUUCCACUACAAGAACAACUUAAAUAUUCACUUCAGGAAUUUCAGUUGCUCUCUUUUUCCGAGUGUUAUGAAUUGAUGCCUACACAGUUGCCUAUCAUGCAUUGCUACAUUCUAGACUGCAAUUUUGUUGGCCAACCAAGGGACCAGCAAAUGCUGAUGCAUCAAGUGCCUGUCUUUUUUAACGUUUCAGCCUUUUUUAAUUUCUAUGAUUUAAUGACCUGAAUAUUAUUAGGAGAUGAUACACUCUUCAAUUUUUCAUUGACUACACAAUUGCUCUGACCUUUUUAUGGAACCAUGAGUCUCCCACCCAUUCCUUACAUUGCUUGCAAAACGGCGCAUCACUUUCUUUUAUGCUGUAAAUUAGCCUAAGCUUCUGUUUAUUCCCCUUUUCCUGAACUGAACCGAUCCUGCUACUCGGUAACAAGGUGGUUCGUUGAUCCACUCCUUAACUGUUUGUGUUGGCUUCCUAUUUUUCAUGAGUAAAAUAUGGUUCUGGAGAACAUCAGACGAAACAUAGUGUUUUUGCAGGCUGGUCUGAUGGGCCUCCACAGUGAGGAUGUCAAUUAUCCUAAGAAGAGGUGCAUGAUGUUGUUUGUUUAGGUCGCGUUUCCAUCUGCUACUGUCAUUGUUUACUCGUGUUUCUUCCUCUUUGGCAGGGCGAUGUGGCCACUGUAUUUACAAGUUGAGAAUCUUCUUCGGCCGAUCGACCAGAAAGAAAGGAAAGUACUUCCAUGCAUGUUCAGUGAUUCGGGGCUAUCUAUGGAAGGUGUCUUCAUAGUAUCAUUUGCUGGUUCUCUAUAUCCUGUUAUUUUUCCUGUGUAAAUGCUUCUGUGCAUCCUCCUUUAUUUCCUUAUAGGUCCCGAUCCAUCUUGGUGCUGUUGCAUGCUCCUUUCGAUCCAGUCCUCUUUUCCUUUGUAUGUGAAUUAUGCAUAUGCUCAUGUCGAAAUGGUGAUGUGUAAUACACUAUUGAAUUGAAUUGAAGUAAACCUUUUUUAUCUGCAAAACAAAAUCCACAAGGUGCCUUGGUAGGCUCACACAACAACUUUCAUGUUCUAUGUAAAGUACUUGUUUUUGUGUAAAUGAUUUCCCUAUGAGAAACAGGCUUGGUACCACCAAAUAUCUUCUGAAAUUG